rnacentral:rRNA from 1 species
UACGUAGGGCGCGAGCGUUGUCCGGAUUUAUUGGGCGUAAAGAGCUCGUAGGCGGCUUGUCGCGUCGACUGUGAAAUCUCAGGGCUCAACUCUGACAUUGCAGUCGAUACGGGCAGGCUAGAGUCCGGAAGAGGCGAGUGGAACUCCUGGUGUAGCGGUGGAAUGCGCAGAUAUCAGGAAGAACACCAACGGCGAAGGCAGCUCGCUGGGACGGAACUGACGCUAAGGCGCGAAAGCGUGGGGAGCGAACAGG